rnacentral:rRNA from 1 species
AACUUCCUUGUCUAGAACGUGCGUGGGCUAAAUAACCCCGCACGUCGUGCUGUUGUUCACUCUGUUAUUUCCAACAACAAUGUAUCUGUCCUCUGCUUGCAAGAGUCAAAGCUAGAUUUCGUUGAUUUGGGUGUUGUCCAGCAGUGUUGUGGGAGCCGGUUCUCUGAUUUUUUCUUCGCACCUGCAGUUGGUACUAGGGGAGGGUUGAUUCUGGCUUGG